rnacentral:rRNA from 1 species
UACGAAGGGGGCUAGCGUUGUUCGGAAUCACUGGGCGUAAAGGGCGCGUAGGCGGCUUUGUAAGUCGGGGGUGAAAGCCUGUGGCUCAACCGCAGAAUUGCCUUCGAUACUGCAUGGCUUGAGACCGGAAGAGGUUAGUGGAACUGCGAGUGUAGAGGUGAAAUUCGUAGAUAUUCGCAAGAACACCAGUGGCGAAGGCGGCUGACUGGUCCGGUUCUGACGCUGAGGUGCGAAAGCGUGGGGAGCAAACAGG